UACUCCCACAGGCCACAGGUGAGGUUUAGGAAAUCAUUUCCUCUCUCUCUCUCUCUCUGAAUCUAGGGUUUUGUCACCACCCAAAUUCCGCCCAAAAUCCAAUGUCGAUUCCGCAAGAGUUGUACCCAAGCCAAGACGACCUUCCCUACGAAGAAGAGCUCCUCCGCAACCCCUUCAGCCUCAAGCUAUGGUGGCGCUACCUCGUCGCCCGCACCGACUCCCCCCACACGAAGCGCUUCACCAUCUACGAGCGCGCCCUCAAGGCCCUCCCCGGCAGCUACAAGCUCUGGUACGCCUUCCUCCGCGAGCGGCUCGAGCUCGUCCGCCCCCUCCCCAUCACCCACCGCGAGUACCAGAAGCUCAACAACACCUUCGAGCGCGCGCUCGUCACCAUGCACAAGAUGCCCCGCAUCUGGAUCAUGUACUUGCUAACCCUAACCGAGCAGAAGCUCGUCACCAAGACCCGCCGCACCUUCGACCGCGCUCUGUGCUCUUUGCCAGUGACCCAGCACGAUAGGGUUUGGGACCCCUACCUGGUUUUCGUUAGCCAGAGGGGCGUCCCGAUAGAGACCUCGCUUAGGGUUUAUAGACGGUACUUGAAGUACGACCCCUCGCAUAUAGAGGAUUUUAUCGAGUUUUUGGUGAAUUCGGGCCUGUGGCAAGAGGCCGCGGAGAGGUUAGCCGGGGUUUUGAACGACGAUAGGUUUUAUUCGAUUAAGGGUAAGACUAAGCAUAAGCUGUGGCUGGAGUUGUGUGACUUGCUUGUGCAGCACGCGGAUGUGGUUUCUGGGAUGAACGUGGAUGCGAUUAUUCGAGGAGGGAUUAGGAAGUUUACGGAUGAGGUUGGGAGGCUUUGGACCGCGCUUGCGGAUUAUUAUAUCAGGAGGGAGUUGACAGAGAAAGCUAGGGAUGUGUUUGAGGAGGGGAUGACUACGGUUGUCACGGUUAGGGAUUUUAGUGUGAUUUUCGAUGCCUACGCGCAGUUUGAAGAGACCGUGCUUCUUGUGAAGAUGGAAGGAGUAAGCGAGGAUGAGCUAGACGAGGGUGAGGGAAACGGUGAAGAGGAUGAGGACGACGACGAUGAUGAAGAUGACCGUUUGCAUGUGGCGAAGAUUGAGAGGAAGCUGAAGAGAUUUUGGUUGUCUGAUGAUAAAGAAGUUGAAUUGAGAAUGGCCCGGGUCGAGUAUCUAUUGGAUAGGAGGCCAGAACUGGCUAAUAGCGUGCUUCUUCGCCAAAACCCGCAUAACGUAGAGCAAUGGCAUCGGCGAGUGAAGCUUUUCGAGGGUAACCCUACAAAGCAGAUUCUGACUUACACAGAGGCAGUGAGGACAGUUGAUCCUAUGAAAGCUGUGGGGAAACCUCAUACACUGUGGGUUGCUUUUGCCAAGUUGUAUGAGGAUCACAAGGAUGUUGUCAAUGCAAGAGUGAUUUUUGAUAAGGCGGUUCAGGUCAACUACAAAACCGUUGAUAAUUUGGCCAGUGUUUGGUGUGAAUGGGCUGAAAUGGAACUUCGGCAUAAGAACUUUAAAGGGGCUUUGGAGUUGAUGAGGCGUGCAACAGCUGAGCCUUCAGUGGAGGUGAAACGGAGAGUGGCUGCUGAUGGCAACGAACCAGUGCAGAUUAAGUUGCAUAAAUCCUUGAGGCUUUGGGCAUUCUAUGUUGAUUUAGAGGAAAGCCUUGGAACUUUAGAGUCAACUCGUGCGGUUUACGAAAGGAUAUUGGAUCUAAGAAUAGCCACACCACAAAUCAUAAUUAACUAUGCUAUGCUUUUGGAGGAACACAAAUAUUUUGAGGAUGCCUUCAAGGUUUAUGAAAGAGGCGUCAAGAUUUUUAAAUAUCCACAUGUUAAGGACAUAUGGGUCACUUAUCUUUCCAAGUUUGUUAAAAGAUAUGGGAAAUCAAAAUUGGAACGUGCGCGAGAGCUGUUUGAGCAUGCUGUUGAAGUGACCCCAGCUGAAUCUGUGAAACCAUUGUACCUUCAAUAUGCUAAAUUAGAGGAGGAUUAUGGUCUUGCAAAGCGAGCAAUGAAGGUUUAUGACCAAUCUACAAAGGCGGUUCCGCCCCAUGAGAAAUUGAGCAUGUACGAGAUCUACAUAGCUCGUGCCGCUGAGAUAUUCGGUGUUCCAAGAACAAGGGAAAUAUACGAGCAAGCCAUAGAAUCUGGUCUUCCGGACAAAGAUGUCAAGACCAUGUGUAUGAAAUAUGCUGAGCUGGAGAAGAGCCUUGGAGAAAUAGAUCGUGCUCGUGGGGUUUUCAUAUAUGCAUCUCAGUUUGCGGAUCCGCGAUCAGAUCCUGAUAUAUGGAACAAAUGGAACGAUUUUGAGGUGAACCAUGGUAAUGAAGACACCUUCCGAGAAAUGCUAAGAAUUAAAAGGAGUGUUUCUGCAAGUUAUAGCCAGACACAUUUCAUCCUUCCCGAGUAUCUGAUGCAAAAGGAUAAGCAGCCAAAUCUCGACGAAGCAAUGGACGCACUAAAAAAAGCCGGUGUUCCAGAAGACGAAAUGGCUGCUCUAGAGAAGCAAUUAUUGCCUGAUGCCGGUAAAACUGCUACCAAAGAUAGUAACAGGAAAGUAGUGGGUUUUGUGAGCGCGGGAGUGGAGUCUCAGACUGAAGGAGGAUUAAAAGUUGCUGCAAAUCACGAGGACAUUGAGCUACCGGAAGAGAGUGACUCGGAAGAUGAUGAGAGAGUUGAGAUUGCACAAAAAGAUGUUCCCUCUGCCGUUUUUGGUGGUUUAGUUAGGAAGCGGGAAGAGGGCGACAAUAAUGAUGGCAAUGGAGAUGAUAGCGCUGCUACUAAAGAUACAGAUGAUGGGGCCCGUCUUGGCGCACUUGAGAGAAUAAAAAGACAAAGGCGAGGAGCAAUGGUUUGAAAACACUUCACACAGAUGAUUUAUUCAUGGAAAUGUACUUACUGCCAAUCUUAAUAGUCCGGUAAGUGCUGUUUACAGUUGUGCUGAUUGUUUAGCCGAGCUGAAAGCGUGUGACGUGUUGCAAUGUCAUUGGAUGGUGAUGAAUCAGGGCUUCAUGACUGCCCAAUCAAAUGGUGGCCCUCAUCGGUAUUGGACAGGUCCAGGUCGCAGCGCUUUUGAUUAACCAGAAGAAUGAAAAGAUUUCAAAUUUUCUCAAUGGAGCAUCAUCCAUGGUCCAUCCCACUUUUGAAGAUUGUUUGCUAGGAAACAAGAUGGUGGAGAUGUUGGCCAUUCAUCCAACUCCAAAAGAGACACGGAUGAGUAUAUACGUGCGGACCUAAUUUUUUUUUGCGUGUUCCGCCAAACUACAUGCAGAUAUCGACUAAUACUCUUCUGCACUAGGUAUUUUUGUGGGGUUCAUGACUGAAUGUGUGGACUCGUGUCAUGACUCACGUGAAUAUUCGUGGUGUUGCUACUCUUAUGUACUCAAAAUCAUGAAGCACGAAGUUUUGUGCUUAAAGCGACUGCCAUGUGAACUUGGUGGUGUGUAAUGAUUGUGAUGGUGGACAAUGGACACUGCUAGUCUGGGAGUGAUAAUUGUCGACAAGAAACGGGGGAAAUGCAACAUAGAAAGGGGCCCAAAUUCCACCUUCCGAAAGGGGAAAGACAUACUACCUGCAACUAAAAAGACAUAAAGUUUAUGUUCCAUAGGAUGGUAAUGUGCAAAAGGCCAAAAACUAAUUCUAUUUGAACCGGAAAUUCGAAAUUAGGUAGGAUUUGUGACUUGUGUGGGUUGAAGUAGAACCACUCAGUGUUAAUCCUUAAUUUCCAUAGGUACCUGAGAUCCAAUCGCUGGUCAAAGACAAACAAAAUCCUAAAACACCUCCAAACCCGAAAUGCCUAAUCUGUCACCACACCUGAACAAACCUCUGCCCAAAUUGCCAUCCCACUGAAGAACCCGCCGUAUGUUGCCGAUCCCAAAAAUGCCCC